rnacentral:rRNA from 1 species
GCGGCGACUACCUGCAAGUCGAACGGUAGCACAGAGAGCUUGCUCUCGGGUGACGAGUGGCGGACGGGUGAGUAAUGUCUGGGAAACUGCCUGAUGGAGGGGGAUAACUACUGGAAACGGUAGCUAAUACCGCAUAAUGUCGCAAGACCAAAGAGGGGGACCUUCGGGCCUCUUGCCAUCAGAUGUGCCCAGAUGGGAUUAGCUAGUAGGUGGGGUAACGGCUCACCUAGGCGACGAUCCCUAGCUGGUCUGAGAGGAUGACCAGCCACACUGGAACUGAGACACGGUCCAGACUCCUACGGGAGGCAGCAGUGGGGAAUAUUGCACAAUGGGCGCAAGCCUGAUGCAGCCAUGCCGCGUGUAUGAAGAAGGCCUUCGGGUUGUAAAGUACUUUCAGCGGGGAGGAAGGUGUUGUGGUUAAUAACCACAGCAAUUGACGUUACCCGCAGAAGAAGCACCGGCUAACUCCGUGCCAGCAGCCGCGGUAAUACGGAGGGUGCAAGCGUUAAUCGGAAUUACUGGGCGUAAAGCGCACGCAGGCGGUCUGUCAAGUCGGAUGUGAAAUCCCCGGGCUCAACCUGGGAACUGCAUUCGAAACUGGCAGGCUGGAGUCUUGUAGAGGGGGGUAGAAUUCCAGGUGUAGCGGUGAAAUGCGUAGAGAUCUGGAGGAAUACCGGUGGCGAAGGCGGCCCCCUGGACAAAGACUGACGCUCAGGUGCGAAAGCGUGGGGAGCAAACAGGAUUAGAUACCCUGGUAGUCCACGCCGUAAACGAUGUCGAUUUGGAGGUUGUGCCCUUGAGGCGUGGCUUCCGGAGCUAACGCGUUAAAUCGACCGCCUGGGGAGUACGGCCGCAAGGUUAAAACUCAAAUGAAUUGACGGGGGCCCGCACAAGCGGUGGAGCAUGUGGUUUAAUUCGAUGCAACGCGAAGAACCUUACCUGGUCUUGACAUCCACAGAACUUUCCAGAGAUGGAUUGGUGCCUUCGGGAACUGUGAGACAGGUGCUGCAUGGCUGUCGUCAGCUCGUGUUGUGAAAUGUUGGGUUAAGUCCCGCAACGAGCGCAACCCUUAUCCUUUGUUGCCAGCGGUUAGGCCGGGAACUCAAAGGAGACUGCCAGUGAUAAACUGGAGGAAGGUGGGGAUGACGUCAAGUCAUCAUGGCCCUUACGACCAGGGCUACACACGUGCUACAAUGGCGCAUACAAAGAGAAGCGACCUCGCGAGAGCAAGCGGACCUCAUAAAGUGCGUCGUAGUCCGGAUUGGAGUCUGCAACUCGACUCCAUGAAGUCGGAAUCGCUAGUAAUCGUAGAUCAGAAUGCUACGGUGAAUACGUUCCCGGGCCUUGUACACACCGCCCGUCACACCAUGGGAGUGGGUUGCAAAAGAAGUAGGUAGCUUAACCUUCGGGAGGGCGCUACCACUUGAUUCAU